rnacentral:rRNA from 1 species
UACGGAGGGCGCGAGCGUUAAUCGGAAUUACUGGGCGUAAAGCGCGCGUAGGCUGUUGUGUAAGUUGGGGGGUGAAAUCCCACGGCUCAACCGUGGAACAGCCCUUGAUACUGCGCGACUUGAAUCCGGGAGAGGGUGGCGGAAUUCCAGGUGUAGGAGUGAAAUCCGUAGAUAUCUGGAGGAACAUCAGUGGCGAAGGCGGCCACCUGGACCGGGUAUUGACGCUGAGGCGCGAAAGCGUGGGGAGCAAACAGG